UGGGGAAUAUUGGACAAUGGGCGCAAGCCUGAUCCAGCCAUGCCGCGUGUGUGAAGAAGGCCUUUUGGUUGUAAAGCACUUUAAGCGAGGAGGAGGCUACCUGUAUUAAUACUAUAGGAUAGUGGACGUUACUCGCAGAAUAAGCACCGGCUAACUCUGUGCCAGCAGCCGCGGUAAUACAGAGGGUGCGAGCGUUAAUCGGAAUUACUGGGCGUAAAGCGCGCGUAGGCGGUUUGUUAAGUCGGAUGUGAAAUCCCCGGGCUCAACCUGGGAAUUGCAUUCGAUACUGGCAAGCUAGAGUAUGGGAGAGGAAGGUAGAAUUCCAGGUGUAGCGGUGAAAUGCGUAGAGAUCUGGAGGAAUACCGAUGGCGAAGGCAGCCUUCUGGCCUAAUACUGACGCUGAGGUGCGAAAGCAUGGGGAGCAAACAGG
rnacentral:rRNA from 1 species